UUUCUUGAUUGUAAGAAGUGUUCCAAGUCCUCCUCCAUGAUUCUCUCCUCCCCCGAGUAUCGUCUCUCAAAUUAGCCGCGCACGAGUGAACAUUCGCCAAACUGACCCGGAAGUAGAUCAACGCGCAU